rnacentral:rRNA from 1 species
AGAGGAAGGUCCCCCACAUUGGAACUGAGACACGGUCCAAACUCCUACGGGAGGCAGCAGUGAGGAAUAUUGGUCAAUGGGCGAGAGCCUGAACCAGCCAAGUAGCGUGAAGGAUGACUGCCCUAUGGGUUGUAAACUUCUUUUAUAAAGGAAUAAAGUCGGGUAUGGAUACCCGUUUGCAUGUACUUUAUGAAUAAGGAUCGGCUAACUCCGUGCCAGCAGCCGCGGUAAUACGGAGGAUCCGAGCGUUAUCCGGAUUUAUUGGGUUUAAAGGGAGCGUAGAUGGAUGUUUAAGUCAGUUGUGAAAGUUUGCGGCUCAACCGUAAAAUUGCAGUUGAUACUGGAUAUCUUGAGUGCAGUUGAGGCAGGCGGAAUUCGUGGUGUAGCGGUGAAAUGCUUAGAUAUCACGAAGAACUCCGAUUGCGAAGGCAGCCUGCUAAGCUGCAACUGACAUUGAGGCUCGAAAGUGUGGGUAUCAAACAGGAUUAGAUACCCUGGUAGUCCACACGGUAAACGAUGAAUACUCGCUGUUUGCGAUAUACGGCAAGCGGCCAAGCGAAAGCGUUAAGUAUUCCACCUGGGGAGUACGCCGGCAACGGUGAAACUCAAAGGAAUUGACGGGGGCCCGCACAAGCGGAGGAACAUGUGGUUUAAUUCGAUGAUACGCGAGGAACCUUACCCGGGCUUAAAUUGCAGAUGAAUUACGGUGAAAGCCGUAAGCCGCAAGGCAUCUGUGAAGGUGCUGCAUGGUUGUCGUCAGCUCGUGCCGUGAGGUGUCGGCUUAAGUGCCAUAACGAGCGCAACCCUUGUUGUCAGUUACUAACAGGUUUCGCUGAGGACUCUGACAGGACUGCCAUCGUAAGAUGUGAGGAAGGUGGGGAUGACGUCAAAUCAGCACGGCCCUUACGUCCGGGGCUACACACGUGUUACAAUGGGGGGUACAGAGGGCCGCUACCACGCGAGUGGAUGCCAAUCCCAAAAACCUCUCUCAGUUCGGACUGGGGUCUGCAACCCGACUCCACAAAGCUGGAUUCGCUAGUAAUCGCGCAUCAGCCACGGCGCGGUGAAUACGUUCCCGGGCCUUGUACACACCGCCCGUCAAGCCAUGGGAGCCGGGGGUACCUGAAGUGCGUAACCGCGAGGAGCGCCCUAGGGUAAAACUGGUGACUGGGGCUAAGUCGUAACAAGGUAA